GGCAUUAACUUAAUUUUGGUUUAAGACCCAUUUCCAGAACUGAGAAUCUAGAAAAAGUUACUGGAAUUUUCUGUGUUCAGUAUUUGAGGGAAACAUAUACAUUCACUGGAGCUGCCUCUGCCACUUUAAAUCCCACCUGACUGCUCCAAAAGGAGUCAAGCAGGUGCAGCCCAUCAGCAAGAGUCAGGGGCUGGGGUAGCUUUGGCAGGCAUGUAGCAGUGGCUUUUGUGUAUGAUCAGUCAGUGUGUUAUAUGUCACACUGGACAUAUAACAGGACAGGAAAGAGGGGGUUUUAUGCAGCUCUGCUGUCACUCAUCUUCAUCAGAGUAACCAAGAUGGACUCAGAAGAUGCAUGAGGUACAAAUGCUAUCAAGUCUGUAUUCCUGCUUGCUACCUGGGUAACUGCUGCCUGAAGAGUGACAGUUCUUGUGCAUUUAUAUGCUGGGAACAGACUCCUGGGGAAUGGACAGGCUGCAUUUUUCAGAAAGACUAUUGAAAUGGACUGGUGAAUCAUCAUGUCAUGCUGUCAUUUGCAGAAGUGUAACAGAUGGAGGAGCAGCCAUCAAUGAUCCAUCAGAAACCAUCUCAGGGUUGAAAAUGGUGUCAUGGGCCACUCUCAGAGAGUGAGCUGUGCUGGAAAACGGCUUCUGGAGACAGAAGGUUCUGCAGGAGCCCUGGAUCACAAUAUUUGUGGAAAUCCUUUAGGAUUUUACCAGGGAAGGACCCACAUGAUCAAUGGAGUAAAGCUUUGGGAGCUGUUUGACAACUUAACAUUGGCUGUAUGCAGCUUUACUGACACCUUUCACAUACCAAACCCCAGAGGCCCGAAUGGUGGAAUUUUCCUUGGAUCUCAGCAGGGGACAAGUGUUUAAUUUUUCCACUGGAUUUUGAGUUUGCCAUUCAGACCUCCUAAAAAGACACAAAUCAGAUGCCACACAACCGUAUUCCACUGGCAGGAAAUAAUGACAUCCUGGCAGCACUGUGAAGUUCCAGCACACAAAUUUGCAUCAGAGCUUCCCUGACAUAAAGAGAAAUGAAGUUUCCAAAGCUGUGCUUAC